CGAGUGAGCGGCAAAAGCUCAAAUUUGAAAGCUAGCACCUUCGGUGUUCGCGUUGUAAUUUGAAGAUAGUUUCCUUGAGUAGUCCUUUAUCUAUGUUCCUUGGAACAGGACGUCAUAGAGGGUGAGAACCCCGUAUGAUUUUGGAUACUACUCUUUGUGGGAUUCUAUCGAAGAGUCGAGUUGUUU
rnacentral:rRNA from 1 species